rnacentral:piRNA from 1 species
GAGGAGAACAUAGCAGUCUGAGUGAAU